rnacentral:rRNA from 1 species
GUGGGGAAUCUUGCGCAAUGGGCGAAAGCCUGACGCAGCCAUGCCGCGUGAAUGAUGAAGGUCUUAGGAUUGUAAAAUUCUUUCACCGGGGACGAUAAUGACGGUACCCGGAGAAGAAGCCCCGGCUAACUUCGUGCCAGCAGCCGCGGUAAUACGAAGGGGGCUAGCGUUGCUCGGAAUUACUGGGCGUAAAGGGCGCGUAGGCGGACAGUUUAGUCAGAGGUGAAAGCCCAUGGCUCAACCUUGGAAUUGCCUUUGAUACUGGCUGUCUUGAGUACGGGAGAGGUGAGUGGAACUCCGAGUGUAGAGGUGAAAUUCGUAGAUAUUCGGAAGAACACCAGUGGCGAAGGCGACUCACUGGCCCGUUACUGACGCUGAGGCGCGAAAGCGUGGGGAGCAAACAGGAUUAGAAACCCUAGUAGUCC